CUUUGAACUAUAGUUCAUGUAGAAAGUGAACUUUCCCAACGCUGCCUCUUACUGUAUUGAAAGCAUGUUAGUCAUUAGGUAAAUUAUUAUGUCUAAAACACACUUUUAGAUUCGUAAAAGCUUUGUCUUCAUGAGAACACAAAGGGAGAUCUCAGUUUUUGUUCUUGUGUAGACCACAUUAGACCAUGUCCAGAUCCAAAACCACUAUAUCUAGACUUGUCAAAUCUCUCAAGAUCCUAAAAAAAACGGUUUCAGAUUUGUGAAAGCUUGAUUCUAUUUGUGAAAAUGCAAUAAAGGAAGAAAACAAUGGAAAACUGCAAGUGGCUAAUGCAUCCCAUCACACAAAAGGUCAGUACGGGGUCCCUCGAGCCUCAGCAAGUCCUGUUCUGUAGAGAGGGAAAGUCCAGCAGCGUUCCUCUGAGCCAGAAAGGAAACCUAGAAGGAGGAGCCUACUAGUGUCUACGUGGAGAACCUGGUGAAGAUUUUCUGCCACGGGAAAAAGCUGGCGCUUCUAUGAGGGACAGAUCCCAUCCUUCCUGGGACCCAACGGAGGCGGGAGAAGCAGCACCAUGUGAGUGAUGGAGCACAGCGACAGACAUGCCUAGUAGGGGCUUUAGGCUGUCACAGAAAGGGCCAUAGAAAUGGCAACCAACUCCACCAUAUUAACAGAUGUUCAUUUCCAACUGUUAGUAAUGUUGGUCGGCUCAUUGAGAAUUUGUUGACUUUCCUUUUUUUUUUUUUUUUUUUUUUUUUUUUUUUUAUGAGGCUGAUUUCCCUUUUUGAAUGACUCUUGAUAGUAAAGUUUGCUGCCCCCUGAUCUGAAUGAUGUGGUCCCAUGCAGCUUCAUCCUGACUGUCUGUUCCCUCCAACCUCUGGUAAAAAAAAAAAAAAAGUAUUGGUAAACAAUUUAUCAGAUAAUCAAAUUGAUCUAUUCUGUCUGGCUGUGCCAUGAAGAAUGUUAGUUUAAAUGAAGCUACUCCUCUGUCAUAUUAAUACUCAAAUUCCUAGAGGCUCAAGCCAAGGAGGCGGAGUUGCAGCCAUAUUUGAUUCAAGCCUGUUAAUUAAUCCUGAACCUAAAUUAAAUUAGAACUCGUUUGAGUCUUGUCCUUAAUCUUCAACAUGGAAAACGAUACAGCCAAUUGUUGUUUACCAAGCUCCAGGUCCGUAUUCUGAAUUUUUAUCUGAAUUCUGAGUUUUUAUCAUGUGUAGUCCUAAAAUCAGACCAAGUACUUAUUUUAGGUGAUUUGUAUAUCCAUGUGGACGUUGACAACGCCAGCCUUAGUAUUGCUUCCAACUCACUACUAGAUUAAAUUGGUUUCAGUCAGUGUGCAUAAGGCCGCUCACUGUUUUAACCACACCCUCGACCUUGUGCUUGCAUAUGGCAUCGAAAUUGAAGAUUUAAUAUUUCCACAGAAUCCUUUAUCGGACAAUUUAAUAACUUUCAAAUUUUUACUACCAAACUAUACAAAAUUGGUAGUGACAACUUCAUGAGCUUCUUUAAUGUUAAAAUUAUAACAAUUAGAGAUAAAAUUCAUCACCUUUUGCCCUCAACUUCUAAUGGUUCACCUUUUAAACGCAGGAGUACUAGAAAGAACGGCAAGAUCUCUAACAACUACUGUUAAAGGUCUCUUCAGCCAAGCCAAAUCCUAUUUAUCUGAUCGAGAUCAAUUUGUUAAGGUUAACGAUAAAUCCUCCAGGUACGCUAAAGGGGCAGACAGUCACCACAUUAAGAGUAAACUGAAAACCCUCCUCUUUGAUAAAACUUAUAGUUAAGGAGUGAGGAGUUGCAGCGUCCGCCUA